rnacentral:tRNA from 1 species
AGUCCCAUAGCACAAUGGUUAGUGUAGCGGUCUCCAAAGCCGUAGAUCUUGGUUCAAUUCCAAGUGGGACUGCCA